UUCACCCCCAGUGUAACUUCUGCCUCUGCUCCUCCUCUUCUUGGAACUGCCUUUUGUUUGUCUGGCAGCCUUGGUUCUAUGGGGGUGUGUGAUGAUAAUAAUACGCGGGCUUAUAUAACCCUCUUCAUCUCGCAAGCACUUCGCAGACAGUCCCUAAUGAAUCUUCGGGCCGCUGUCAGGCCGGGUGGCUGGAGCGGGCCGAGAGCAAACCCCCAGCCCGGGCGCGCGGAGGCCAGAGGGGAGGGCGGUGCGGGUCAGAGGCCAGGCCUCCCUGGCUCCCCGCGCCUCGGAGGUCAGGGCAGAUAAGGAACAAUGACUCUCGGCCUGGGGAGGAGGAAGGAAGUCCCGCUGCCACCUUAUCUCUGCUCCUGUGUACGCUCCGGGCUCCCAGAGCUUGUUCUCUAGAGAAGACUUGGAAGGCGGCUUUUGUGCUGACGGCCACCCACCACCCUCUGAAGAAGGCGAUAUUGGCGGAUGACAUGCAGGUUCUCCAAGACAGAAUAAUUGCAGAAAAUCUUCAAAGGACCCCAUCUGCAGAAGUUCUGAAAACCUCUGAGUACAGAAAUUGAUUAUUCAACCAGGAUACCUAAUUCAAGACCUGCAGAAACCAGGAGGCUGCGACAUUCUGUCGGUUUCGUGACAUUGGACCAAACACAAUGAAGUAUACUUGCUGGGCUCUGGUUCUGGCUGUCCUGGGCACAGAGCUGCUGGGGAGCCUCUGUUCGACCGUCAGAUCCCAGAGGUUCAGAGGACGGAUACAGCAGGAGCGAAAGAACAUCCGACCCAACAUUAUUCUUGUGCUCACUGAUGAUCAAGACGUGGAGCUGGGUGAGACA